rnacentral:lncRNA from 10 species
CCAAACUUUAUUUAUUUAUUUGUUUGUUUAUUUAUUUAUUUAUUUAUUUAUUUAUUUAUUUAUUUAUUUUUGAGAUGAAGUCUCGCUCUGCCACCCAGGCUGGAGUGCAGUGGCACCAUCUCGGUUCACUGCAACCUCUGCCUCCUGGGUUCAAGUGAUUCUCCUGCCUCAGCCUCCCGAUUAGCUGGGACUACAGUCACCUGCCACCAUGCCUGGCUAAUUUUCGUAUUUUUAGUAGAGACGGGGUUUCACUACAUUGACCAAGCUGGUCUCGAACUCCUAAUCUCAAGUGAUCUGCCCGCGUCAGCCUCCCAAAGUGCUGGGAUUACAGGCAUGAGCCACUGUGCCCAGCCAGGUUAACUUUUACGAAAUUACAAAAUAAAAUUUUUCUUCUUACAAAAUAAAUGCAAACUACAUGGAAGACAAGAAGGUCUCUUCAUCCUCACUCCAUGUCAUAUGGCUAGGGCCUGCCAUAAGUACAGCACACAUUUUUCCCCAAUUUAAUCUUCUCAACUGAAGAAGGUAUUUUGUCCCCAUUGUACAGAUCAUGACAAUGAGGUUCAGAGAGGUUAAGCAACCAACCCAAGACCACACAGGUAGCAAGUGGACUAGCACCUGCAGUCUGAUGUUGGGGCCCAAACCUUCAAUCACCAGGCAAGACUGCCGGUCACCCUGCAAGCUGCACUCAAUGGUUUGAAAGAAAGGCUGCAAUCAGCAUUUGUGACAUUGUGUUUAUGGGGUGGUCAGCCAUCCCGCCAGGUGCACAACGUGUGGCUCGGUAGACUCUGGGCAGCACAGGCCACUGCAUGGAGUGGCACUCACCCUGCACUGCCAUGUGCUGCCCUCUGUUUGAUUCUCAUCUCCUUUCAGCGUCAGACAGCGGUGGCAGGCAGCGGUGGCAGGCAGCGGUGGCAGGCAGCGGUAGUAGACUGAUGCGGUAGGCAGUGGUGGCAGGCAGCGGUGAUAGGCAGCGGUGGCAUUGGUGGCAGGCAGUGGUAGGCAGCAGUGGUGGCAGCAGUGGAGGGCAGCAGUGGCAGGCAGCGGUGGCAGGCAGCGGUGGCAGCAGUGGUGGCAGGCAGCGGUGAUAGGCAGCGGUGGCAGUGGUGGCAGGCAGUGGUAGGCAGCGGUGGCAGGCAGCAGUGGAGGGCAGCGGUGGUAGGCAGUGGUGCCAGGCAGCGGUGGAAGGCAGCAGUGGUAGGCAGUGGUGGUAGGCAGCGGUGCCAGGCAGCAGUGGUAGGCAGCGGUGGCAGGCAGUGGUGGCAGUGGUGGUAGGCAGCGGUGGCAGGCAGCGGUGGCAGUGGUGGUAGACUGCCGUGGUAGGUGGAACUCAUCAUCCUAUCUCCCAGGGAUUGUCACUUUCCCCCGAGCCCUCAUGAGCUUCUGAGCAGCUCUACGAAGCAAGAGUCACAUGGAUUUGGGCUUUUUGAAGAAAGUUCAAGGAGAUUCCUACCUUUGCUGGUACCCUCCUCUGGGCGUGGGCUGCGACAUGGACAUCAGCAAACUUAAGCUCAACGAGGGAAGAUUGUGUGCCCUCUGGAACCUCUGACCGCUGCCUCUAUGUGCACGGGCCCCUAAUCACAGUGCGUCUCCUACGCACCCUUGGCUCCCCCAGGAGCUGGUGGCUUCUGGGUUAGCUCUGAGACAGAGGUAUCACCAGGCUUGGCUCAGGGAGGCCAACUGUGUGCUCUGGAACCAUCCAGACCCUCAAUGUUUAAAUUGAAAGUGUGCCCAGCCUCGGCCCCCUUCCCUUUGACAUUAAGACUUAAGAAGUUUCUAGUCCUUGUUGAAACCUAGUACAAAUGCCUCCUCUAGGAGCCUCUUGGGUGGGGUGGGAGUUUUUCAACUGUCA